CAAUAACUAUCUAAAAGGGAUAAAACUCUCGCGUAUAUCUCUCCGGAGAGCCAAAUAUCUCAAAUUGUUAUGGUAGAGGUUUAAAUCUAACUUAGCAGCCUCUGUUUCCUUCCAUGGUUUCUACUGUCCAAGACCUCCAAUCGAUGGCAGUUGAUCGUUCUUCCCUCCUCCGGCUAGAGCACGACCAAGGAACGACGCCUUCCAGUUUGAAGCCUACAUCGCUGGCUCUCCAUUUGAUCCACCCAUCACAAGGUAUUGCUUAUUUGUGUGAUUUGGAGCCAAGGAGACAACAAUCCAUGAUAGCUCAUGGCUUCAUAUGCAAUUUCGUUCAAAUCUUUAGUCCCUGGCGAGUUUGACCAAGAUCUGAUGGAUUAGUUACUCUCUCUCUUAUCACACGUGCUGAUUUCUCUAUGCUGAGUUUGACCAAGAUCUGAUGGAUUAGUUACUCUCUCUCUUAUCACAGGUGCUGAUUUCUCUAUACUGAGUUUGACCAAGAUCUGAUGGAUUAGUUACUCUUUCUCUCUUAUCACACGUGCUGAUUUAUCUAUGCUGAUUUGUCACAUGCAUAUUUACUUGAACCAUUCUUACUAUUACGGUGGCACAACUAAUCACGUAUAGUUAUCUACCGAUGCAUAUUGGCUCAUCCGAAAGAAAAUUGUUCAUCCACCAGACUGGGUUUAUUGCGACUUUGCGAGUCCAAUACUGGCGGUGCCGAGUCCAAUACCGACUGCUCUGUUGCUUCUCAUCGCUGGCAUGUGUAUGGCGCCAUGCCAGUAUGCAACAACAAUCCUGGUGCCCGUAUGAAUAACUCUUGAUGUAGGCAUAGCAUGCAUGCAUUGGAGAAAUAUUAAUAUAAUGUAAUAAAAGAAACAUGUGUGUAUAUACUGUUUGCAUCCGAGUUGAGGUGUUUUGGUCAUGUUUUAUUUUGCACGGUGGUCAUCGACCGGUUAUAGGUUGCUCCAGGCCUCGAAGGCCCGGCGGUACUGCUCCUCCACACGGAGAGCUGAUGGUGCUGCUGCUCCUCGGCACCUUUGAGCGGUCUGUUAAUAGGAGGCGUGAGGCGAGCUGCAAGACUUCACGACACCUUUGAGUGGUCUGCUAAUAGAAGGCAUGAGGCGAGCUGCAAGAUUUCAGGCACAUAAACAGCGCAAUGGCAAGAGCUAUAUAAUAUCACAUUGAUAUUCUGGACCCCGCAGGAGAAUAUAUAUUUAAGUGGUGUACAUGUACUAUGUAUAACUAGAAGAAGAUUACUAUAUUUGUGACUACACUAGAAAUUUAUAGUUGUUGCAGCACGUGGUUAGUUUACAAUAUCACGGUGGUGGUCAUCGACCAGUUAUAGGGUGCUCCAGUGCUCGAAGGCCCGGCGGUACUGCUCCUCGACAGGGAGAGCUGGUGGUGUUGCUGCUCCUCGGCACCUUGGAGCGGUCUGCUAAUAUGAGGCGUGAGGCGAGCUGCAAGACUUCAGGCACACAAACAGCACAACAGCAAGAGCUAUACAAUAUCACAUUGAUACAUAUUCUACAGCCCGCGGGAGACAUUAUAUAUUUAAGUGGUGUACAUCUACUAUAUAUACCUACAAGAUUACCUAUGUUUGCGACUCUACAAGUACUGGAAAAAAAUUUGAACUAGAAAUUUAUAGAUCCUGCAUCACGUGAUUCUAUUCCUAAAUGGUUCAUGGCUACACGUCCCGUUUUCAGGAUUAUUCUGUCCAUGCCUUGGCUUUCACCUAGAUGGACAAGAGUCUGUUCUUUAGUGAGACGCCCAGCUGCAAGUUGUUGUUUGACCAGUUGUGAGGUGUCUCAGAGGCACCAAAUGGAUGUUCAUAAUGUUGAUCUAUCUACAUAUCAUGUGGUACACGGCCCAGAAAGAAGCAGUACGAUGGUUGGUCCAAAACUAAGCUCAUUCUUAGCAUGGGAUCACUGCCGAGAUUUCUUUCUCUUGACAAGCAGCAUCAUUGCUUACACCAGGAGUUCUUUAGCGGCGGCAAAGAGUCGAGGUGCAGCAAUACUGAUGCAUCAUGCAAUGCCAAGUGAACAAAUGGUGUCUCUCGGGAAAUUACGGGGACGGAUACGAGCACUACGUACCGUUGUCCUACUAUUAAGAAGUUAUAUUGCUGUUUCUCAUCAAGACAUUGUUUAAUAAGGAAAACCAUUUUCUUAUGAAAAAAUCCAUGUGGCAACAUGGUUCAUCUAAUAUUAUUCUUGAAGUGAACUGAUUCGGCUU